CUACGGGGGCUGCAGUCGAGAAUCUUUUGCAAUGCACGAAAGUGUGACAAAGCGAGCCAGAGUGUUUUUCUAUUUAGGAAAACUUUUGUCAGCUGUAAAAAGGCUGACGAAUAAGGACUGGGCAAGACCGGUGCCAGCCGCCGCGGUAAUACCGGCGGUCCAAGUCGCAGCCAUCUUUAUUGGGUCUAAAACAUCCGUAGCUUGUUUUGCAAGUCUUCUGUGGAAUCUUGUCUCUCAAGGGCAAGGCGGGCAGGAGAUACUGCAUAACUAGAGACCGGAAGACGUAACGAGUACGGUUGAGGUAGUGGUAAAAUACGUUAAUCUCAAUUGGACUAACAAUGGCGAAGGCACGUUACGAGGACGGAUCUGACAGUGAGGGAUGAAGGCCAGGGGCGCAAAAGGGAUUAGAUACCCUAGUAGUC
rnacentral:rRNA from 1 species